GUCGAGCGGACCGACGGGAGCUUGCUCCCUUAGGUCAGCGGCGGACGGGUGAGUAACACGUGGGUAACCUGCCUGUAAGACUGGGAUAACUCCGGGAAACCGGGGCUAAUACCGGAUGCUUGAUUGAACCGCAUGGUUCAAUUAUAAAAGGUGGCUUUUAGCUACCACUUACAGAUGGACCCGCGGCGCAUUAGCUAGUUGGUGAGGUAACGGCUCACCAAGGCAACGAUGCGUAGCCGACCUGAGAGGGUGAUCGGCCACACUGGGACUGAGACACGGCCCAGACUCCUACGGGAGGCAGCAGUAGGGAAUCUUCCGCAAUGGACGAAAGUCUGACGGAGCAACGCCGCGUGAGUGAUGAAGGUUUUCGGAUCGUAAAACUCUGUUGUUAGGGAAGAACAAGUACCGUUCGAAUAGGGCGGUACCUUGACGGUACCUAACCAGAAAGCCACGGCUAACUACGUGCCAGCAGCCGCGGUAAUACGUAGGUGGCAAGCGUUGUCCGGAAUUAUUGGGCGUAAAGCGCGCGCAGGCGGUUUCUUAAGUCUGAUGUGAAAGCCCCCGGCUCAACCGGGGAGGGUCAUUGGAAACUGGGGAACUUGAGUGCAGAAGAGGAGAGUGGAAUUCCACGUGUAGCGGUGAAAUGCGUAGAGAUGUGGAGGAACACCAGUGGCGAAGGCGACUCUCUGGUCUGUAACUGACGCUGAGGCGCGAAAGCGUGGGGAGCGAACAGGAUUAGAUACCCUGGUAGUCCACGCCGUAAACGAUGAGUGCUAAGUGUUAGAGGGUUUCCGCCCUUUAGUGCUGCAGCAAACGCAUUAAGCACUCCGCCUGGGGGAGUACGGUCGCAAGACUGAAACUCAAAGG
rnacentral:rRNA from 2 species